rnacentral:rRNA from 1 species
GUGCACCAGUCGCGAAAACUCUGCAAUACGCGAAAGCGUGACAGGGCUACCCCGAGUGUCGUCCGCUGAGGACGACUUUUCCACGCUGUAAGGAGGCGUGGGAAUAAGGAGAGGGCAAGUCUGGUGUCAGCCGCCGCGGUAAUACCAGCUCUCCGAGUGGUAGGGACGUUUAUUGGGCUUAAAGCGCCCGUAGCCGGUCAUGCGUGUCUCCAGUUAAAUCCAGCAGCCUAACUGCUGGGCCGCUGGAGAUACUGUAUGACUUGGAGGCGGGAGAGGCUACCGGUAGUCCCGGGGUAGGAGUGAAAUCUUAUAAUUCCGGGAGGACCACCAGUGGCGAAGGCUGUCGGCUAGAACGCGCUCGACGGUGAGGGACGAAAGCUGGGGGAGCGAACCGGAUUAGAUACCCGGGUAGUCC